CGCAGGUUGCGUUACCUGUACUCACACCUGUCACUCUCCAGAGCUGCUCUCCAAGGCUUUAUCUCCCUGCCUCCGGAACUGUCGUCCGUCUGGGCUACCCUACAACAGCGAGGACAAAACAACUAUAUACAUUUACAUACCACUUUGUUUUAAUACCGCAACUUCCGAUCGCUCUGGCAUCAACCUACGAGGUUAGAGUCGCUCUGGCAUCAACCUACGCGGUUAGAGUCAAGUCGGCUUGACCAUCAGCGUCAUUAUCCACCUCAUUUAUACAGACGUUUUGAAGACAUACUUAUUGGUUGUUGCAGUGAAAUAAUGGCACCUUGACCUCGUCCAGUCUAUUCAGUGUUUUGGAGAGAAAACAAAGGCAACGCACGUUUUGUUCGUCACCAGUGUCCGUCUCAUCAGUAGAAGAGAGAGAGGAGAUUCAGCGCUGACUUGGUGGAUGUGUUAAAGCAUGAAUAACCUGGGACCUCCGAUGAGGCAAGCCAAUGGGGUGGCCAGAUCUGACAGCAAGAUGGGCGCCAAGGCUCUAUACGGUAAGAUAUGGACCGGAGCAUGUUUGUGUGCACGUGUGUUUAUGCUAAGAUAUGGAGGGGUUUACUAUGUCGUGUGUGUGUGUGUGUGUGUGUGUGUGUGUGUGUGUGUGUGUGUGUGUGUGUGUGUGUGCGCGUGUGCGUGUGUGUUUUAUGAUAAGUGUAUUUAUACUAUAGUUACUCAUCAGUAUGUGAUCUUACCUGUGGCCUUAGCAUUAAUAUGAGAGUAUGAGUCAAAUACCUGGUAAGGGUUUGGUUUGGAACAGAUUCCAGAAAUGUCCUUUUAUCAAAUCAAAUCAAAUCAAAUGUAUUUAUAUAGCCCUUCGUACAUCAGCUGAUAUCUCAAAGUGCUGUACAGAAACCCAGC